rnacentral:rRNA from 1 species
CCUACGGGGGGCUGCAGUGGGGAAUAUUGGACAAUGGGGGCAACCCUGAUCCAGCCAUGCCGCGUGUGUGAAGAAGGCCCUCGGGUUGUAAAGCACUUUCAGUGAGGAAGAACGCCUGGUGGUUAAUACCCAUCAGGAAAGACAUCACUCACAGAAGAAGCACCGGCUAACUCCGUGCCAGCAGCCGCGGUAAUACGGAGGGUGCGAGCGUUAAUCGGAAUUACUGGGCGUAAAGCGCGCGUAGGGGGCUUGAUAAGCCGGUUGUGAAAGCCCCGGGCUCAACCUGGGAACGGCAUCCGGAACUGUCAAGCUAGAGUGCAGGAGAGGAAGGUAGAAUUCCCGGUGUAGCGGUGAAAUGCGUAGAGAUCGGGAGGAAUACCAGUGGCGAAGGCGGCCUUCUGGACUGACACUGACACUGAGGUGCGAAAGCGUGGGUAGCAAACAGGAUUAGAUACCCCAGUAGUC